GAGGAAGAGUUGCACAAAGUCAACAGUCUCACUUCUCUCCCAGAGUCAUCAAAGUUCAGUGGCAAGACAGAAAGUCAGGACAACUAGAGAUGACACUGAACAACUGAACAUCAUCAAUAGCAGGAGAGAUGAGGAAAAGAGGUAGCAUUGAGUGGAGCCUUACAUAAAGAUACAGCUUCUGAGAAGUUAAAGCAGUCCAUGGCAGAGAUGGGGAAAUAUGUGCUUUGAGGGAGAAACUCCUGAAGACUGCCUAUGAUGGUAAAGAAUGAAGCUUUGAGAACUAUAUUGCUGGAGAAUAUACCUACAUUGUUUCAAUCAUUGACAUUACAAGACUAAAAGUAUCAAUGGCAAUGCAUGAAACAGGUUCAACAAUGUAAAAAUAUUUCUCAUCUUUUUUGCAAAACAGUUUGUAACAUUUUUUCUAUGAUAAUUAAAUCAAUACUAUGAGGACCUCAAG